UACGUAGGGUGCGAGCGUUGUCCGGAAUUAUUGGGCGUAAAGAGCUUGUAGGCGGUUUGUCGCGUCUGCCGUGAAAAUUCGAGGCUCAACCUCGAACUUGCGGUGGGUACGGGCAGACUAGAGUGUGGUAGGGGAGAAUGGAAUUCCUGGUGUAGCGGUGAAAUGCGCAGAUAUCAGGAGGAACACCGGUGGCGAAGGCGGGUCUCUGGGCCGAUACUGACGCUGAGGAGCGAAAGCGUGGGGAGCAAACAGG
rnacentral:rRNA from 1 species